GAACAGGAUUAGAUACCCCGGUAGUCCACACUCAUAAACGGAUGGCGCUAGGUGUGGUUUCCUUCCACGGGAUCCGUGCCGUAGCCAACGCAUAAAGCGCCCCGCCUGGGGGAGUACGGCCGCAAGGCUAAAACUCAAAAGGAAUUGACGUGGGCCCGCACAAGCGGCGGAGCAUGUGGAUUAAUUCGAUGCAACGCGAAGAACCUUACCUGGGUUUGACAUGUACCGGACGACCGCAGAGAUGUGGUUUCCCUUGUGGCCGGUAGACAGGUGGUGCAUGGCUGUCGUCAGCUCGUGUCGUGAGAUGUUGGGUUAAGUCCCGCAACGAGCGCAACCCUUGUCCUGUGUUGCCAGCACGUGAUGGUGGGGACUCGCAGGAGACUGCCGGGGUCAACUCGGAGGAAGGUGGGGACGACGUCAAGUCAUCAUGCCCCUUAUGUCCAGGGCUUCACACAUGCUACAAUGGUCGGUACAGAGGGCUGCGAUACCGUGAGGUGGAGCGAAUCCCUUAAAGCCGGUCUCAGUUCGGAUCGGGGUCUGCAACUCGACCCCGUGAAGUCGGAGUCGCUAGUAAUCGCAGAUCAGCAACGCUGCGGUGAAUACGUUCCCGGGCCUUGUACACACCGCCCGUCACGUCAUGAAAGUCGGUAACACCCGAAGCCGGUGCGCCUAACCCUUCUGUGGGACGGAGCCGUCGAAUGAUGAUCCCGGUUCCC
rnacentral:rRNA from 1 species